rfam:Triticum aestivum genome assembly, contig: Triticum_aestivum_CS42_TGACv1_scaffold_203910_3AL
CUUGUACUCCCUCCGUCCGAAUAUACUUGUCAUUGAAAUGGAUGUAUCUAGAUGUAUUUUAGUUCUAGACACAUCCAUUUUGAUGACAAGUAAUUCCAGACGGAGGGAGUACUUG